AUAGGCGAUGUGUCAUCUUUAUUUUUGAUCCUAGUCGGCGGACGUCUAGCCGCGCUUCUACCAAUCACCGCCCUGGAUUUUUGGAAGCUGAGGUCCAGCUGGUUGGAAGGAAUCUGUAACAGUCGAUAAUUGUCAAGGGAAGUACUGAAGUAAUUGUCUGGAGUGACUUCUGGUCUUAUCUGUCUUGAGUAUUCGUCAUCUUGAUUCCUGUUAGAUGUGAAGCGAAAAAUGUGCGUUCAUCUAUGCUUCCCCUGGAAACUCGAAGAAAUAAGGUCCUUUCGUUUGCAUAAAAAGUGUAGCACUUUACUACACUCGAUUUGAUUUACACCAGUGUAGAGGAAGUGUAG